GGCUCCGUAGUUCAACUGGAUAGAAUGACAGUUUCCGGUACUGUUGGUUGGGGGUUCGAAUCCCUCCGGGGUCA
rnacentral:tRNA from 1 species